GGCUGUGUAGCUCAGUGGUAGAGCGCCCGGGUUUCUUCCUCCUAGAACCCUUUCCGCUCCCGCAGACCUAGAACCGUACAUGGUUUAUCUUCUCCGCCCGGGAGGUCGGUGGUUCGAUUCCACCCACAGCCA
rfam:Verticillium dahliae VdLs.17 supercont1.2 genomic scaffold, whole genome shotgun sequence.